CCUACGGGAGGCUGCAGUCGAGAAUCAUUCACAAUGGGGGAAACCCUGAUGGUGCGACGCCGCGUGGGGGAAUGAAGGUCUUCGGAUUGUAAACCCCUGUCAUGUGGGAGCAAAUUAAAAAGAUAGUACCACAAGAGGAAGAGACGGCUAACUCUGUGCCAGCAGCCGCGGUAAUACAGAGGUCUCAAGCGUUGUUCGGAAUCACUGGGCGUAAAGCGUGCGUAGGCUGUUUCGUAAGUCGUGUGUGAAAGGUGCGGGCUCAACCCGCGGACGGCACAUGAUACUGGGAGACUAGAGUAAUGGAGGGGGAACCGGAAUUCUCGGUGUAGCAGUGAAAUGCGUAGAUAUCGAGAGGAACACUCGUGGCGAAGGCGGGUUCCUGGACAUUAACUGACGCUGAGGCACGAAGGCCAGGGGAGCGAAAGGGAUUAGAUACCCGGGUAGUC
rnacentral:rRNA from 1 species